rnacentral:tRNA from 1 species
UAACAAGGUAUCCGUACCGGAAGGUGCGGAUGGAUCACCUCCUAACAGGGAGACAAAACAAUGAUUUUGAUGUCUGAGUAAUUUAUUCUUAGGCCGAAAUCCUGUCACCUUAGGUCGAUCGGUACCUCAACAUUUUUUCAAAGAUUGAUGAGCAAUCAUCGAGAGAUUGAAAGAGAUGUUCAGUUCCUAAACUUUGUCUAGGUCACACCCCGCAAGGGAAGAGUCCCCUGGGCCAUUAGCUCAGGUGGUUAGAGCGCACCCCUGAUAAGGGUGAGGUCCCUGGUUCAAGUCCAGGAUGGCCCAUUCGGUGUUGGGGGUUUAGCUCAGUUGGUAGAGCGCCUGCUUUGCAAGCAGGAUGUCAGGAGUUCGAGUCUCCUAACCUCCACUGACCGAACUCAAUCUCCAUUGUCCGGUAACUCGGAGGAUGAACUCGAGUGAGUGUGAUUUAGAUGUGUCCACUAGAUUGGACCCCAGCUUCCUGUCAUUCCAAACAAGUAAAUAUUGCUUGAAUGGUUGAUAAGAUGCUGGGCUCAGAUUAAUCGAAAGAUUGAUUUGAUGUCUAGUAGAACCUUGACAACUGCAUAGGUAAGUCUGGAAAAACAAAGCAUCUUACAGAUGCAUUGUUUUAAGCCUGAAUUCUCGAAAGGGAAUUUAGAAUUAGAACAAUGAAAAUUCUUUUGAGCAAGAGCCGAGACUCUUAAAUGUUCUUUGAUUCGUGUCGAGCGAAUUAGAGUUUGAUUUUGUUU